rnacentral:rRNA from 1 species
CCUACGGGAGACAGCAGUGGGGGAUAUUGCACAAUGGGGGGAACCCUGAUGCAGCGACGCCGCGUGGGUGAAGCAGCACCUCGGCGCGUAAAGCCCUGUCAGCAGGAAAGAAAAUGACGGUACCUGACGAAGAAGCCCCGGCUAACUACGUGCCAGCAGCCGCGGUAAUACGUAGGGGGCAAGCGUUAUCCGGAUUUACUGGGUGUAACGGGGGCGUAGACGGCAGUGCAAGCCAGGAGUGAAAGCCCGGGGCCCAACCCGGGGACUGCUCUGGGAACUGUGUAGCUGGAGUACGGGAGGGGCAGGCGGAAUUCCUGGGGUAGCGGUGAAAUGAGUAGAUAUCAGGAGGAACACCGGGGGCGAAGGCGGCCUGCUGGACUGCAACUGACGUUGAGGCCCGAAAGCGUGGGGAGCAAACAGGAUUAGAUACCCCAGUAGUC